UCUUUUUCUCACGCAAAGCCACAAUAAUUAUUUGCUUUUUCCAUUUAAGGUAAUCAAUAUUGAUAUAAAUUGGAGUGAUAUGAAACCAAUUAUAUUCAUUUCCAAACAAUAUUAUCAAUCAGAAGAAGAAGAAGAAAAUAGUGCAAUGGCAAAAACAAGUGCUUCAGUUAUUCUAGCUGUCCUUGUUAUUAUAUCAGUAUUUCUGAAUGGCUAUAAUGCUGAGAAAGCAGGAGUAGACGGAAUGUUACAUUGCUUUCCUGAAAUAUGUCCUAAUUAUAACUGUACAGAAUUUUGUAUGGCAAAAGGGUACCCUAAAGGUUGGUGUUUAUUAACCACUGGAAUGUGUUGUUGCCCUGAUGAAAAGAUCCAUGUUUGAUAAUUCUACAUUUUCAACAUAAUUGUACAAGUAUAUCAACAAUAUAAUCUCUAAAGUUUUUAUUAAAAUAAGUUGAAAAGCUACUAUUGUAAGUUCAAUUACGAUGUAAUUUCCUAUAUUAAGAAUUGCCCAUUAUCAAAUUUGACAUAUACAUCAUUUAAGGUUCAA